AUGGGAAUAUAAAUCUCUUUUUAAAAAUGCUUGUGGAAGAAAUGAGGUUUCUCUUCACUGUCUAAUUUGUAACAGCGAAAUUCCCUCCCGGAGGCAGGCACCGGAGCACAGCCUGCAGGACUCAUUCACGGACUGGGGAAGGAAUUGUGGAUUUAUUGGGAACGCGACGACGGGAGAUUUGAGCUGUCAGAUCAAUACAUGGGUUGUCCUUGACACACUCUGCAGACCUUCACUGUGCCUCAGAUAUCUGCGCUGUUCAGUGCGAUAGACACCAGCCAGAUACAACAACCGAACACUGGAAAUGUGGCUCACGUGGCUGGAGGACUGAAUUUUUUUUAUUUUUAUUUUUAUUUUUUGAGACAGUGCCCUACUAUAUAGUCCAGGCUGACUACAAGAUUCUGUGUAGCCCAGAGUGGUUUCAAACUCCC
rnacentral:lncRNA from 1 species